UACGUAGGGUGCAAGCGUUGUCCGGAAUUAUUGGGCGUAAAGAGCUCGUAGGCGGCUUGUCGCGUCGACCGUGAAAACUUGGGGCUCAACCCCAAGCCUGCGGUCGAUACGGGCAGGCUCGAGUUCGGUAGGGGAGACUGGAAUUCCUGGUGUAGCGGUGAAAUGCGCAGAUAUCAGGAGGAACACCGGUGGCGAAGGCGGGUCUCUGAGCCGUAACUGACGCUGAGGAGCGAAAGCGUGGGGAGCGAACAGG
rnacentral:rRNA from 1 species